UUUCAGAAUUUUUGGGCCUCGUUUUCGGUCUCAAGGCAGAUUAAAAAUUCAAAAUUUUGUAUUUCGAAUCGAACCGGCCGAAUCGAACCGGACCGGAUCGGACCAGCCGAAUCGGACCGGCUCCUUCUUCUUCUUCUCUUUUUAUCCCGCGCGUGUUUCCUCCUUCCUCUCUUUCUCUCCUGUUUUCUCUCUCCUCUCUCCUCCCCUUGCCGCGCCGCCGCCUCCACUGCCAUCCCAACCCGCCGGCGCCCGUCCCCAGCCGCCGCCGGAACGCCGGAAAAAGGAGCCCGAAGCGACGCGAUGCGCAAGCGCGCCACUUCGUCUUCCCGGCCGAAUUUCAGCCGAUCCGGCCACCAAUCGGACCGGGUCUUGUGUCUAAAUCCAUCUACUCGUCGAGAGCUUUCCAUAGACACCAAGAACACCGAAAUCCAUUGAGCGGUUUGUCCAAUUUUUGCCCAGGAAUUUUUAGCCAAUUUUGACUUUUGGGCUAGAUUUCUCGCAAACCGUGAACCCCACGAGAAAAUCGAGAGUACCAGAGCGCUCUACUCAUUGAGAGUUUCGCGGCAAUAUAAAUUUUAAAAUUUUCCGACACCGUUUUUCGGUGGGUCCCACAGAACUUCGCAGUGUUUUCCGAGCAUUAAAUGAGCUUAGAAAAUUUCGAAAAAUUUAUGUACUAACCCCCGUGUUGUGGGCUUCGUGUAGGUAUCUUCAAUUCGCGGAAAUUCGACAGUUGUCCGAGUCUGUGAAGUUCCGGCCAGACAGACCGGUUACCGAAAAAGUCUCCGGAUUGAAUCGAGAUUUUGGCUACCCCGCCAUUGUCAGACGUCCCGAGCGCGUCCCCGAAGUCGGAAUCGGCAUAGGUGAGCCAGGACAGCCUUCUUCCUCCGCCCAGCCACCACAGUGAUUGUUGUCAAGUUUGUGAGUAAAAUAUUAAUUUUAAUUGUAAUUUCGAUAUUAUUAUAUGUUCAAGCAUGCCUAUGCAUCACUUAUAUGCAUAUAUCUAUGUAGUUAAACUCUAGGCACGAUUUAUGUUGCAUUCAUAACUGUUAAAGUGCCAUGGAUGUUAUUGUGUUAAUUUGGAGCAGUGUGCGUGCGUUGGCGUGCGUGUGAUGUGGUGUGGACUAUGGAUAGGACAGGUAGACACGGCUUGAGAUCUUCACUGGGACCUGGUCCUUCGGGGGUAGUCACGACUUGAGUUCUUCGCUGGGACCCCGAUUUGGUAUAUUAAGCGAAAGUCUGGCUUGAGUUCUUCGCUGGCACAGGUUGGAUUUAAGAGAGCUGUAUAGGGGAUCAGCUCCCAUAUAUUAUGAUUGAUAUUACUGGGUGUGUGAGUGCUCCAAAUUACCUUUUGCUGUUAUGAUGUGAAUUUAUUGCUGAAGUUGCAUUUCACUCUACAGGGUGCAUUAGUUUUAGAUAGUUAUAGAGAUUAUGGUUAAAAUUGAUAUUUUACUUUUUAAGUCGAACGCUCACUCCUGUUCAAUAUUUUUCCAGGCCACAAGAGGAUAUUUUUGAGGUUAA